rnacentral:rRNA from 1 species
UACAGAGGUCCCAAGCGUUGUUCGGAUUCACUGGGCGUAAAGGGUGCGUAGGUGGUGAGGUAAGUCGGAUGUGAAAGCUCGGAGCUCAACUCCGAAAUGGCAUUGGAAACUACCUUGCUCGAGGGUUGGAGGGGGGACUGGAAUUCUCGGUGUAGCAGUGAAAUGCGUAGAUAUCGAGAGGAACACCAGUGGCGAAGGCGAGUCCCUGGACGACUCCUGACACUGAGGCACGAAAGCUAGGGGAGCAAACAGG